rnacentral:rRNA from 1 species
GACGAACGCUGGCGGCGUGCUUAACACAUGCAAGUCGAACGGAAAGGCCCUGCUUUUGUGGGGUGCUCGAGUGGCGAACGGGUGAGUAACACGUGAGUAACCUGCCCUUGACUUUGGGAUAACUUCAGGAAACUGGGGCUAAUACCGGAUAGGAGCUCCUGCUGCAUGGUGGGGGUUGGAAAGUUUCGGCGGUUGGGGAUGGACUCGCGGCUUAUCAGCUUGUUGGUGGGGUAGUGGCUUACCAAGGCUUUGACGGGUAGCCGGCCUGAGAGGGUGACCGGCGACAUUGGGACUGAGAUACGGCCCAGACUCCUACGGGAGGCAGCAGUGGGGAAUAUUGCACAAUGGGCGGAAGCCUGAUGCAGCAACGCCGCGUGCGGGAUGACGGCCUUCGGGGUGUAAACCGCUUUCGCCUGUGACGAAGCGGGAGUGACGGUAAUGGGUAAAGAAGCACCGGCUAACUACGUG